UGAGUGCGAGCUGCUACGGCAGCGAAGUUGGUGAUGUCAUGCUUCCAAGAAAAGCCCUAUACCCGUUAAGGCAUCAUGGCCUGUACCCGAAACCGACACAGGUGGGGUGGUAGAGAAUACCGAGGGGCGCGAGGUAACUCUCUCUAAGGAACUCGGCAAAAUGGCCCCGUAACUUCGGGAGAAGGGGUGCCACCGCAAGGUGGUCGCAGUGAAGAGGCCCAGGCGACUGUUUACCAAAAACACAGGUCUCCGCUAAGUCGCAAGACGAUGUAUGGGGGCUGACGCCUGCCCAGUGCCGGAAGGUUAAGGAAGCUGGUCAGCGCAAGCGAAGCUAGCGACUGAAGCCCCGGUGAACGGCGGCCGUAACAAUAACGGUCCUAAGGUAGCGAAAUUCCUUGUCGGGUAAGUUCCGACCCGCACGAAAGGCGUAACGAUCUGGGCGCUGUCUCGGAGAGAGGCUCGGCGAAAUAGAAUUGUCUGUGAAGAUGCGGACUACGUGCACCCGGACAGAAAGACCCUAUGAAGCUUUACUGUAGCUUGGUAUUGUGCCCGGGCUCGCAAUGCGCAGGAUAGGUGGGAGGCUUUGAUCAUCGGCUUGCGGGUCGAUGUGAGCCAACGGUGAGAUACCACUCUUUGCGAGCUAGGGUUCUAACGGCCACCCGUCAUCCGGGGGCCGGACAGUACCUGGUGGGCAGUUUACUGGGGCGGUCGCCUCCUAAAAGGUAACGGAGGCGCGCAAAGGUUUGCUCAGGCUGGUUGGAAAUCAGCCGACGAGUGUAAAAGCAGAAGCAAGCUUGACUGUGAGACCAACAAGUCGAACAGGGAGGAAACUCGGCUUUAGUGAUCCGACGGUUCUGAGUGGAAGGGCCGUCGUUCAACGGAUAAAAGUUACUCUAGGGAUAACAGGCUGAUCUCCCCCAAGAGUUCACAUCGACGGGGAGGUUUGGCACCUCGAUGUCGGCUCAUCGCAACCUGGGGCUGAAGUCGGUCCCAAGGGUUGGGCUGUUCGCCCAUUAAAGCGGUACGCGAGCUGGGUUCAGAACGUCGUGAGACAGUUCGGUCCAUAUCCGGUGCACGCGCAGGAAUAUUGAGAGGAUUUCUCCCUAGUACGAGAGGACCGGGAGGAACGCACCUCUGGUGUACCAGUUAUCGUGCCAACGGUAAACGCUGGGUAGCCAUGUGCGGAGUGGAUAACCGCUGAAAGCAUCUAAGUGGGAAGCCCACCUCAAGAUGAGUAUUCCCAUGGCGUAAGCCAGUAAGGUCACGGGAAUAACACCCGUUGAUAGGCUCUAUGUGGAAGCGCAGUAAUGCGUGAAGCAGAGGAGUACUAAUAGACCGAGGGCUUGACCAA
rnacentral:rRNA from 1 species